UCGCUAGCGGAAGCACAAGUGUCUGAGAGUGCAAGUCUGAGAAUGCAAGUGCCAGAGAGAGAGAGAGUUGCGACAACUCCAUUGACUCCAAUGGAACGCUUUUUUUACAGCAAUGGCGGCUUGUGGAGUCUCUCAAUAGUUCCCGGAAGUAGCAGCAAACCGAUGCCGCGCCGUAGAGAUGCAGCAGAACAAACCGUUUGCGACGCAAUUUUAAAAGGUGGAGGAUUAGUGGUGCCACAGGACUGUUCUGUGAUGGAGCAUCAGUGAUGAUGCAGGUCAGGAGUGCUGAGGGGACCAUGGUGAGAAUGAAAACAAAAGCCUCAAUUCUCAACCUCAGCUGUAUAAAUCUUUUGGAGAUUUUUCCUUCUACUCCACAGCAUGAUGUAAGGCUGCUGGAGAGUGACUGAGCUUCCUUCUCCAACACAUCCACUGCAUUGGGGAGCUCCAUGAGGAAGUCUGCCAAAAAGCUACUGUCAUCUUCCUGGUAGCUCCCAGACCUGAUGGUGGUGAGGAACUGCCCUACUGAUAUGAUUCUCAGUGUAUGAUGGAAUUCGACUGGAGUUGGUAUGGGAUUUUUAGACCUCACACAGCUGAAUGUAUUUUCAAGGCAGUCUUGUGUGAACUUCGAAGUUAACACAAACCUGUGUCCUCGUGUCAGCAUCUCUUCCUGUAUGCCCAAAACUGAUUUGGUUGCCAUUAUCACGCCUUUUUGAACAGGCUUCCAAACUCCCUUAUGACCAAUCUUCAUCCCAUGGAAUAGAUGGAUGAUAUCCUGUAGAAAGAUUAUGGCCUUUUUUUAUACUCCUCUAUUUUGACCCUGCUCAGUGCUGUAAUUAAAUGGCGAGAUGACAUUAGAUCAAACCAAUGAUCCACUUGCUCCAGGAACCACGCUGUAGUCAGGUAGGAGAGAGGGCGGUUUUCUUGCUGCACCAUAUACUUCAGGCCAGCACUUGUUGCCUUACUAAAUACAUUUAGAGCAGGACCAGCCUUCAUUUUUUCAAAGUGGCUUGGCUCGAUGGCUGCAGCUGAUAGAUGGGGAGCUACUUUUAAUGCCAUCCCUUCUUGAAAGGACAAUAAGUCCUUAAUAGGGA